rnacentral:SRP_RNA from 1 species
GAAAGCGUCGCUGGGGCGGCACGUCAAACAGCGACGAGAAGCCCGGCUUCAUGGAGCGCGCCAUCGCGAUGGUGUCCGGGCUGUUCGCGCCGCCGGACGCCGACCCCCUGGUCUACAACGACGCGAACCCUAAC